rnacentral:rRNA from 1 species
GACGAACGGCUGGCGGCGUGCCUAACACAUGCAAGUCGAGCGGAGAUAGACUGAUGGUAACUGAAGUUUGUCUUAGCGGCGGACGGGUGAGUAACACGUGGGCAACCUGCCUUGGAGUGGGGGAUAACACCGGGAAAUCGGUGCUAAUACCGCAUAACAUACACAAACUGCAUGGUAAGUGUAUCAAAGGAGCAAUCCGCUUUAAGAUGGGCCCGCGGCUGAUUAGCUAGUUGGUAAGGUAACGGCUUACCAAGGCGACGAUCAGUAGCCGACCUGAGAGGGUGACCGGCCACACUGGAACUGAGACACGGUCCAGACUCCUACGGGAGGCAGCAGUGGGGAAUAUUGCGCAAUGGGGGAAACCCUGACGCAGCAACGCCGCGUGGAGGAAGAAGGUCUUCGGAUUGUAAACUCCUGUCUUCUGGGACGAAGUAUGACGGUACCAGAGGAGGAAGCCACGGCUAACUACGUG